rnacentral:tRNA from 2 species
GGGCCCUUAGCUCAGCGGCAGAGCAACCGGCUCAUAACCGGUCGGUCGCUGGUUCGAAUCCAGCAGGGCCCA